rnacentral:lncRNA from 1 species
AUAAAAAGAAGAAAAAGUUAACUCAGGAUUAUUUAAUGGUACUUUAACAUCAGUGUUGUAUUUUCCUGUUAAAAAUAUCAGCUAUAAAAAUAGGAAGAACCUUGUCGUUUAGAAAUCAAUAUACAAAGUGCAGUUGGUUCAGGUUUGCAUUACUGAUGAAAACCUGCUUACUCAAAUCAGCUACUUUCAGUAGGAACCACUGUGGAUCAGAUCCUUGCGUCAGUCCACAUUCAUUUUAGGUGCAGCAUAGACCGCAGUACAUAUCUUCUGUUUCAACAUCACUCUAAUUUAAGCAGCCCCUAAAGUUGGAGCUAUUCUCAUCAAGCAUCUGGAGUGCUGACACCUGAGAUCUGCGGCUGGCUGCCCAUUCCCCUGCUGGUUUCCUCAGCAGAAGGCAGCCAUCUUUGUCACUGUUGAGGGACUUGGAAGAGGACAGGCCUAGACUGAGCUAACAUGGAGCAGAAAACCAAGGGAGACAAACCCGAGGAACAGAAAAAUUGACUUUGAAAGAGCUGACCCACUGGGUCUAGGAAGAAUAUUCCAAUUCACUCUUAUUCCUACCCUCAACCAAUAAUAGCCUUGCCAUCAGGUUUAUGGGUUGGAAGACAACAAGCAAACUACACAACACCAAGGGAUAGGAAGUGUGGAUGCCCCACGGCGGUGAAAUGCAAGAAUAGUUUGAGAAGCAUAAUUAUCCAACGUGGCAGUUUGAUGAAGGGAUGGAAGUUGACAUUCCUAAGCUUGAGUAAAGUGUCCUGGAAUCUGAGUGGUUAUAAAUGGUCCACAUUUCAAGUUCCUGUCUCACCCCAAAGUGCUGGGAGCUCCCUCAUAACAAGGCCCACCUGGACACCUGCAACCUUGACCCACAGGGCAGAGAGCCACGUGCUGAGUCAU